GACGAACGCUGGCGGCGUGCUUAACACAUGCAAGUCGAACGGAAAGGCCCUGCUUUUGUGGGGUGCUCGAUUGGCGAACGGGUGAGUAACACGUGAGUAACCUGCCCUUGACUUUGGGAUAACUUCAGGAAACUGGGGCUAAUACCGGAUAGGAGCUCCUGCUGCAUGGUGGGGGUUGGAAAGUUUCGGCGGUUGGGGAUGGUCUCGCGGCUUAUCAGCUAGUUGGUGGGGUAGUGGCUUACCAAGGCUUUGACGGGUAGCCGGCCUGAGAGGGUGACCGGCAACACGGGAACGGAGACACGGUCCAGAGGCCGAAGGGAGGCAGCAGUAGGGAAUCGGACGCAAUGGGCGGAGGCGUGACGAAGCAACGCCGCGUGAGUGAUGAAGGUCUUCGGAUCGGAAAACUCUGUUAGUAGGGAAGAACAAAUGUGUAAGUAAAUAGGCACGUCGGGACGGUACCUAAUCAGAAAGCCACGGCUAACUACGUG
rnacentral:rRNA from 1 species